rnacentral:lncRNA from 1 species
UCCCAUCCACGUAACUCUAAAUUUUAGGUGAUGAGAACACCGUGGAACAAAACAGUUUUAUUUUUCAGCCUCAAAGGAAAAUAAGAACCUUCUACUCAAACUCUGUACUUAACAACAUCUGUUCCUGACUGAAACCGCAAGGGACAACUUCCCAAAGGUGGAUGCGGUGAAGAUUCCUGUGAAUCACCUGGGCACCAUCCCCACACGCACAGAGCCCAAUUUAUAUGCACAAGCAAUUAGAAGAAGAAGAGCAGCACAGGUGGCUGGAGAAGCCCGCGACAGCCUGAUGUGUGCAAAUUCCAGGCGCAAACGUAACGUUUCCUGUGUACAAGUGUAUUUUCCACUUUCAUGUUUUCUCCAGCUGGGUCAAAUUACCUCCUGAAAUCUCUUCCUGGUGAUAGACUGAGGCAAGAGUGAUAUUACUGAUUCUUAUCUAUCUGGGGCAAUCGUGGUGUGAGCUGAAAGAGGAUAGAGCGAGGGCGUAGAAGAAAAAAGAAGAAAGAAGGCCAGUGACACUUGUCUGUGGAGUAUGCGGUUAUCUGUACUGCCUGUCUCUGUGAGAUGGAUUAUCACACUUGAUCAAGUUCAAACUCUCAAGAAAAUGCUGUGUGAACGUUUCACAUUUACUGAAACGAUGAUAUGUAACAGUGAAAAACACGUGAGUGUAAGGCAAAGAAACCUCCUGAGAGCUAUGUGAGAGGCUGCACCAGUUCUGGUUAGUUACUUUGCCAGAGAUAAGAUGAGGGGGAAGACGGCGAAUGAUCUGUGCUAGGAGAUGCACUGGCUUUCACACACAGGUGGGCUGUGCUACCUGAGUGUUGGGUGAAGGCAGCUCCAGCCAGUGGCUGACCUACGCAGUGUGACUGUGGCACCAAAUCAGCGUGGGAAACUCGCCGCACAUUUCAGAUUUCGAUAGCAGGAAGGAAGACUGCAGGUUUUGUGAGUCUGGGCAGACCAGCAGUGGUUGGGGAGUGGAGGAGAGCACUCAUAUCAGCCACGUG